AAAAAAAAAAAAGUGUUUGAAUCAUAGCAUCCACUGUUGAUGAAAAUGCCGUCUUCUGUGUAGUCUCCUGGACUGGCCAAAUGUAUUUUUAAUUAUUCUGCUAACUUGCAUGUAUGCUUACAGUUUCACUUUUUCAGUUUAAAUCAUAGAUGCCAUAGGUUGCUCUUCCUCUCAACGAAGAGUGAAUAAAAAUGUUUCUAGUGUUUCCUCAAUUAAGCAAGGGCGAUCCAAACAGUCUGCAUGUAGCAUUCCUAGGGGGAAGCAGCACCCACCUCACUUGUCAAAUCCAGGGGGAUUUGUCAGUCAUGGGACUUGAAAUUUAUCAACAGUCCAAACAUUUUACAAGCCCGCUGGGGAAAGUUUGGUAGUGUUUGUGUUAAUAGAGCAUUAAUUUCAUUGCAAAUAGUGAUUAGAAAUUUUAAUGUCAAAGUUUAGUGUAUGACUCAUUGAACUGAUUAUAUAUGCUCUUCCUGUAGUUCCCAUAGACAUAAUUGUAAAAAGAGAAUUUAACCUGUACUUUGUUGAGAGAAUGCAUGUAUUCCUUUGGACAGUGCAUUAAAUGUUUUCAUGACGGCAUUAAAGAUUUGUUUUUUUCUUUUCUGUGCUGUACAAAAUCUGCAGGUGUAUGAAAUGUUAGCAUACGGUUAGAACUGUUCAAUCGAAUACUUCUAGAGCAGUGAUAUGUUGAUAACAUUAUUUCAGUGAUGACAGAAAAAAAAUCAUGAUAAUAGUCUGGAGCUGAUAGAAGUCUGAUGACUUGAUUUCAUCACUGUCUAGAGGCAGAGUUAUAGAAAGAUCUCACAGAACUGAAUGAGGGAUAAAAUAGAAGCAGAAUCUCAUUUUCAGAAAUGUGAGGUAAUGCAUAAGAGUGUAAAAAAGACCUCCCUGACUUUAAGUCAGCUAUUACUGCUCCGAAAAGUGUUCUGAUAGAUGCUUUUGUAAAAACAUAACUCAGUUUUCACAAACUGUCAAAAAAAAAAGUAAGUUGUGUUGACUGUUACUGGGGAGGGUUCAUAACAUAAAACAUUACUGUUCUGUGGUAAAAAAUAAAAAUAAAAAAUCCAUGGCAUAUAAUACAGCCCAUUCUUUGAAUGUUUUAUUCAGCACUGAUCCAUCUGCCAGGCUUAUCAUGGAAAAGUGCAGCAAGAAUGAUCAGAGGCUUGGGACAGUUUCUCUGUGCAGAACAGCAGGGCGAUAAGCCAAAUAAAAUAUCCAUUAAUUCUGUGAACAAACAGCAGGUAAAUCUCAGGUCUGCUAUGGCCUGUAUGAUCAUUGUAUUUCAGUACCUCUUGUGUUUCUAGAUACAGUAAAACUAGUUAUUAAAGGUCUGGGAUUUUCACAUUUUUUCUUCUCAUGUUAUCAAGGAAGGAACGUAAUUAAUUGCUUAUUGCCAUAGGAGAGAAUAUGUCACUGAGUUAUGAGCACUUUGUGUAUUCAAGGUAUAGCAAAAGCUGCUCUUAGGAGCUAUAUUCUUCCUGUGUUUCUGUUUCCUCUUUUAUGAUUGCAGCAUUAUGCUGUAGGUAAUACAGUUAUUCAUAGAGAAGUGCUUUAGUAUUAGACAAUAAUUGUAGAUGUUCUGUAAGAACUGGCAGUCAGGGUUUUGGUUAUAUUUUAAAUCAUAAAGCUAAGCAGUUUUAUGGAUGGCAUGUAAAUUAAAUUUGUCAGGUUAAUCCUUGCUUAAUACUUGAUGUCAGCUCUUCAGAGGCACUAAGAAAGGAAUAAGCAUAGCACUUGGUUUGACAUAGCUCUCUUAAAUUUCUUACAGUAGUUUGAAAAACACUGCUUUAGAAAGGAUCAGAAGGGCUUUUCUGGGACAUCACUGGCAAAUAAUAAACUGUACGCAGUUUAUUAUUAAAAGAGAGCAACAUAGUCUUCUGCUUGAUAUCUUUUCUGUGUAAAUGCAAAUGUGAAUAUGUAUGUCAAAUUGAAUGAAAGUGACUUCUGUCUUUGUUAUUGAGUUUUCAAAUUCAUACUGUAGAGAUUCCAAGCUGUCUGUGGCAGAUUCAGAGAGCUGCUGAUCACAUUGUUUUCAGUCUCGUAAGAAAUAAGCAUUUUAACUAACUGAAUGUGCGUAACCGAAUGAUUCACUGGGACAACAAUAAGAAAAUUUCCUCUUUACAACGUAUUUGUACAAGUUAGUCUAAGUUCAACCUAAAUAAUUUCCCAGUUUAGUCUAAGAUUUCUGCAGUUUCUUAAGAUGGGGCUUUGUGCGCAAUGAGUGAGACAGUCAAGUGUGUGUAGUGCGGGGGCAAAGGCCGUACAUGAGAGCAGGAACUUAACUGCAAGCACACAUUUGCGUUGGUGUGAUGGAUUAGCCAUUUAGGGAAUGUAUCUGAACUCUGACAAUCCGUUUGCCUUUGCUUAGGAUAGAUACGGAAACUAUAUAAUUCACACUCUUUGACCUGGCUGCUGACAGCUCCUUCCUGUUGCCUGAGUCUGGUAAAAUAUGCUAAAGGUUGACUGUAGCUCUUCCCCUUUGUUGUGCUUUGAGAAACUCUCAAGUGGCUGAAUCUGGAAUUUGAAUCACCUUUUUAUAUUUCUUCAGGCAUUUUACCAUGCUGUUACAUGGUAAUUGUGAGGAUAAACAUCAUCUUUCUUUCUUGCAAACUCGUAUUAUUAAGAACUGUAGACAGUAUAUUCAGACAUACUUGUAUAUAAGGUUAAAUUCUUGAAUUGUUAUCUUACUGGAGUGUGAUCAUAAUUUGCACAAUUGAAUUAAAAAUAGAUGAAAUGGGAAAACAAUAAAAUACUACUCUAGUCAUGAGUUUUGUCAUCUUGAGACAAAGGCUGAAAGUCAAACCUGUCAGAAAUGAGUUUCAGGAAAAUACAAUGAGAAAAGCCAAGGUGUCAUUUAAAACCUUGAGGUCUUGCUUUCUAUUAGAGGAGAUAAAACUGAAAGCAUAAAAUAAAAUUACUGGUGCUCACUGCAUUCAUUUGAAAUGUCUUUGCCAUUGUAGCAUAGGUAUACUUUGUUUAUGCAGCAGCUUUCCAUCCUUGAUAAUACUAUGGAUCUUUUCUUCUUUAUUCCUGAAAAAAUGUAUAUAGAUGAAGUCAAAAAGUAAAGCUGAUGGUAAAACUGAGUAAAACAGAAAAGUGUCCCUGUAUGUUAAAAUGGAAAUUGUCAUGUGCCUGUAUUGAAUAGCUAAUUUUUCAUCAUUACUUCUUCCUUUUUGCCAGAUUAUGGAUCUUGAUAUCUAUUUAGAAAAAAAAAGAAACAUCAGAUUUCUCUUUUACUAACACACCCGGUGUGUUAGCUUGAAUGCUAACAAAGUAUGGGAGCUCAAGGAAAGACAGGGAAAACUUACGGAAGAGAAAUGCACUGAAAUUUAUUACACAGGCAGAAGUGACACGUGGCUUGGGAGGACUCUGAACUGACAGUAGUUGGAAGUGGGAAAGGCGUUGUGUUUUCGGUUCUUCCCUAGGCCUCUGCUUGCACCUGUUGCUGGAGACAAGAGUUGUCACAAAUAUAUGUGGCAAAUCCUCUGGGUGAUGUGCUGAGGUGCUGUGUGUGCAGCUGUGAGUGGGUGAGUUCCCAGGUUCUGGGAGGCCUCCUUGUCUGCUCCCAGUUGGUCCCAGUUCUGGAUUUUUUUCCACUCUGUUGUAAGCUUUCUGUCUUCUACAAGUUCUUGGAGAUUUCCAGUCUCUUCCUCCCCCAGAUGUCAAUAUCCACUUGCUUUGUUGAUCUAACUGCUCUCCUUCCCUGUCUGUUUAUAUUCCCCUUAGCUUACUUUCAUCCCACUUCCACCAAGCAUGGAGAUAGAAAAAUUCCUUGAACAAAAGGUCAGCAGUCUCUUAACCAGUAGGAGGGUUGGUUUGUGUUUGUUUGUUUUUUCUUCUGUAUUUGUGCACAGAAAUGACUAAUUAUUUUGACUGAAAAUUGAGGUGAAAGGCAGCAGGAUGGGAAUAGCAGUCCAAGGCAGAUGCCUCAGUAUGUGAUUUCAGCUCAAAAUCUAAUUUGGCCAAGAUACAAGAAAGCUGAAAGCGGUUUAGGGCUUGUCUAUAAGGAGAAGAAAUCUGAUAGAGUGCUUUCUUGAGUUCUGCUGUGUAGUUAACACCUGCAUAAUUUAUACUUGCUUUUAUAUAAAUUGGCAACCUUAUCUUAGGAUUUGCCUAGGAAAGGGAUUAUGCCUUUGUCAUAUCUGUCCUCCUUAACGCGGGUAGCAGCCUUUGGAUAAACUACUGCAGACUGGAAGAAUUACAAAGGGACAGAUGGGCAUUGCUAGUCAUUCACAUAUAACUUGCUGUUUUGACCUUUAUUUUGUGGUUUAGAAAUGAAGGUUCAAUGUAAAACAGUGCAAA